CCUACGGGUGGCUGCAGUGGGGAAUAUUGCACAAUGGGCGCAAGCCUGAUGCAGCCAUGCCGCGUGUGUGAAGAAGGCCUUCGGGUUGUAAAGCACUUUCAGCGGGGAGGAAGGCGGUGAGGUUAAUAACCUCAUCGAUUGACGUUACCCGCAGAAGAAGCACCGGCUAACUCCGUGCCAGCAGCCGCGGUAAUACGGAGGGUGCAAGCGUUAAUCGGAAUUACUGGGCGUAAAGCGCACGCAGGCGGUCUGUCAAGUCGGAUGUGAAAUCCCCGGGCUCAACCUGGGAACUGCAUUCGAAACUGGCAGGCUAGAGUCUUGCAGAGGGGGGUAGAAUUCCAGGUGUAGCGGUGAAAUGCGUAGAGAUCUGGAGGAAUACCGGUGGCGAAGGCGGCCCCCUGGACAAAGACUGACGCUCAGGUGCGAAAGCGUGGGGAGCAAACAGGAUUAGAACCCGAGGAGGC
rnacentral:rRNA from 1 species